GACGAGGGAUGCAAGCGUUAUCCGGAAUCACUGGGCGUAAAGCGUCUAUAGGUGGUGAUGCAAGUCACUGGUGCAAAACUCUGGCUCAACCGGAGGAAAGCCAGUGAAACUGCAUGACUAGAGUGUGGGAGAGGUAGAAGGAAUUCCCUGAGUAGCGGUGAAAUGCGUAGAUACAGGGAAGAACACCGGAGGCGAAAGCGUUCUACUGGAACACAACUGACACUGAGAGACGAAAGCUAGGGGAGCGAAGGGG
rnacentral:rRNA from 1 species